GCACUAGUGAUUCCUACGGGAGGCAGCAGUAGGGAAUCUUCCGCAAUGGGCGAAAGCCUGACGGAGCGACGCCGCGUGAGCGAAGAAGGCCUUCGGGUCGUAAAGCUCUGUUGUGAGGGACGAAGGAGCGCCGUUUGAACAAGGCGGCGCGGUGACGGUACCUCACGAGAAAGCCCCGGCUAACUACGUGCCAGCAGCCGCGGUAAUACGUAGGGGGCGAGCGUUGUCCGGAAUUAUUGGGCGUAAAGCGCGCGCAGGCGGCUUCUUAAGUCUGAUGUGAAAGCCCACGGCUCAACCGUGGAGGGUCAUUGGAAACUGGGGAGCUUGAGUGCAGGAGAGGGGAGCGGAAUUCCACGUGUAGCGGUGAAAUGCGUAGAGAUGUGGAGGAACACCAGUGGCGAAGGCGGCUCUCUGGCCUGUAACUGACGCUGAGGCGCGAAAGCGUGGGGAGCAAACAGGAUUAGAUACCCUGGUAGUCCACGCCGUAAACGAUGAGUGCUAAGUGUUAGAGGGGUCACACCCUUUAGUGCUGCAGCUAACGCGAUAAGCACUCCGCCUGGGGAGUACGGCCGCAAGGCUGAAACUCAAAGGAAUCCCGCGGC
rnacentral:rRNA from 1 species